rnacentral:rRNA from 1 species
UACGGGGGGGGCAAGCGUUGUUCGGAAUUACUGGGCGUAAAGGGCUCGUAGGCGGCCAACUAAGUCAAACGUGAAAUCCCUCGGCUUAACCGGGGAACUGCGUCUGAUACUGGAUGGCUUGAGUUUGGGAGAGGGAUGCGGAAUUCCAGGUGUAGCGGUGAAGUGCGUAGAUAUCUGGAGGAACACCGGUGGCGAAGGCGGCACCCUGGACCAACACUGACGCUGAGGAGCGAAAGCCAGGGGAGCAAACGGG